rnacentral:misc_RNA from 1 species
AUUCCUAUUCAUGCUUGGCGCAUGGUGUGCACUCGGCGGAGCGUCGCGGGCCCGGAUGAUCAUUCGAUCACCGGCGGUCCUCUUCGUUGGAUCAGCAUAUCUGAUUUUCGCUCUGCUGAUGACAAUGGCGGGGGGUUUCGAGACGUUCGGGAAGCUUUUUCCAGAAUGGCUUGUGAGCGCAUUCAAUCCAAACGACAAGACGAAUCUUGCGCCGUACCGCGUCGUACAUUUCGUCGUCAUAGCGAUCCUGGCAGCUCGCUUUGUGCCAAUCGAUUGGCCCGGUUUGAAAUCGCGCGUUCUUCGGCCGUUAGUCGUUUG